GACGAACGCUGGCGGCGUGCUUAACACAUGCAAGUAGAACGGAAAGGCCCUGCUUUUGUGGGGUGCUCGAGUGGCGAACGGGUGAGUAACACGUGAGUAACCUGCCCUUGACUUUGGGAUAACUUCAGGAAACUGGGGCUAAUACCGGAUAGGAGCUCCUGCUGCAUGGUGGGGGUUGGAAAGUUUCGGCGGUUGGGGAUGGACUCGCGGCUUAUCAGCUUGUUGGUGGGGUAGUGGCUUACCAAGGCUUUGACGGGUAGCCGGCCUGAGAGGGUGACCGGCCACAUUGGGACUGAGAUACGGCCCAGACUCCUACGGGAGGCAGCAGUGGGGAAUAUUGCACAAUGGGCGGAAGCCUGAUGCAGCAACGCCGCGUGCGGGAUGACGGCCUUCGGGUUGUAAACCGCUUUCGCCUGUGACGAAGCGUGAGUGGCGGUAAUGGGUAAAGAAGCACCGGCUAACUACGUG
rnacentral:rRNA from 1 species